rnacentral:rRNA from 1 species
GUGGGGAAUCUUGCGCAAUGGGCGAAAGCCUGACGCAGCGACGCCGCGUGAGGGAAGAAGGCUUUCGGGUUGUAAACCUCUUUCAGGAGGGACGAAGCUACUCGGGUUAAUAGCCCAGAGGGUGACGGUACCUCCAGAAGAAGCCCCGGCUAACUACGUGCCAGCAGCCGCGGUAAUACGUAGGGGGCAAGCGUUGUCCGGAUUUAUUGGGCGUAAAGAGCGUGUAGGCGGCCAGAUAGGUCCGUUGUGAAAACUCGAGGCUCAACCUCGAGACGCCGAUGGAAACCAUUUGGCUAGAGUCCGGAAGAGGAGAGUGGAAUUCCUGGUGUAGCGGUGAAAUGCGCAGAUAUCAGGAAGAACACCCGUGGCUAAGGCGGCUCUCUAGUACGGUACUGACGCUGAGACGCGAAAGCGUGGGGAGCGAACAGGAUUAGAAACCCGGGUAGUCC